rnacentral:rRNA from 1 species
UACGUAGGGUGCAAGCGUUGUCCGGAAUUAUUGGGCGUAAAGAGCUCGUAGGCGGCUUGUCGCGUCGGCUGUGAAAACCUGGGGGCUCAACCCCCGGGCCUGCAGCCCGAUACGGGCAAGCUAGAAUUCGGUAGGGGGAGACUGGAAUUCCUGGUGUAGGCGGUGAAAUGCGCAGAUAUCAGGAGGAACACCGGUGGCGAAGGCGGGGUCUCUGGGCCGAUAUUGACGCUGAGGAGCGAAAAGCGUGGGGGAGCAAACAGG